ensembl:lncRNA
AUGUACAUACUUGCGCUCAGGCACAUGCACACGUGUCAUGUGACCGCACUGGAGUCUCCUCUGAGUUCUUUGUGUGUAGCCUCUCACUCUGUCACACUCAGACACACCACACACACGUGUUCCCGUAUGUGUGUGUAUGUUCUCUGUUGCUCCUGCAUAUCUGCACACACACUCGCUGCGUGGGCUUUGUGUGGGUGGAGAAAGUGGAGAACAAUGAUGGGUUCUCUUGUCUGUCUGGUUGCUCGCUUCAGGACGUGUGUGUGUGUGUGUGUGAGUCUCCAGUGUUCUGAUGCACUUACACAAAGCAGUCAGAAUGGCGCUUCCUGAAUGAGGUUACACAAUACUUUCUAAAGGUGCCACGCCUGCCCAGCACACAGAUACUCUCAGACUCUCAGACCUGUCUGGAUACAGAAAGGUCCAGAUAAGCCCCAGCCUACGGUUAGGCAUCUAUUUAAGAAUUUAUCUUCAAUCGUUUCAGCAUGCGUUGAAGAGAAUUUAAAUUCGCAUAAUAGGUUGGGAAUCGCAAUGAAUCUAGACUAGUAUUUCUAUUAGCGAAAUUAGACAAAGCAGAAACAGCAUUCAGCAUUGCUAACCGCUUCACACCGAACAACAGCAUGUAAUGAGUGAUAAAGACGGCCAUUUUGUGUCUAGAGGCUGUCCCUUACUGUCUGAGUACAGCAGGGAACACAGAAAUGGAGAAACAGUCGUGCAGCGUGGAAUCAGAUCGGCUUAAAUUUAUCCUCCUGCAUUCUGUUACUUAAUUGUUUUAGUUAUUAGAUUUAGUCUUUAGAAUCUUUAUUAGAUAUUUUGAAUCUCUGUUAUAUUCCAAACAUUGGGAAACAUGUUUGAAGAAGUAAAACAGGAGAUUUGUCUCUAUUAGAGGCAGUGUUGUUUAACGCAGCACACAUUCUCGGGGACUAUCACUGCAUGUCAUGCGUUUACUGGCAGUCCGGAGAUCACAAGGCCAUCAGACAAGGCAGUUUGUGUGUGUGUGUGUGUGUGUGUGUGUGUGUGUGUGUGUGUGUUUGUGGUUUGGAGCUGUUUAGUGUAUGCAGCAAGAUUCAGACCAGUAGCUCGUCACAAGAUUUCACUAGUAAUGAGCAAACUGCCUUCUGGCUUAACAGAGUCAAGAAAUAGAUGUGCUGACUGAAGGUAUUAGAUUAUUUUCACAGUUAAUUUCUUUCUUAUUAUUGACAUUAACAUGUAUUUCCCUUUGCUUGAUA